ACGUAGGGUGCAAGCGUUAAUCGGAAUUACUGGGCGUAAAGCGUGCGCAGGCGGCUAUGCAAGACAGAUGUGAAAUCCCCAGGCUUAACCUGGGAACUGCGUUCGAGACUGCAUUGCUAGAGUAUGGGAGAGGGAAGUGGAAUUUCCGGUGUAGCGGUGAAGUGCGUAGAUAUCGGAAGGAACAUUAGUGGCGAAAGCGACUUCCUGGACCAAUACUGACGCUCAUGUGCGAAAGCGUGGGGAGCAAACAGGA
rnacentral:rRNA from 1 species